CCAGAUUUUAGAGAGGUGGGGUCAGAUGUGGGGGGUAGGAGUUACAGACGCUGUCACAAUCGGUUGGGUCUCUGCUGUUGUUUCAAAGGCCCCCAGACCAACCACUCACAAACCCAUCUCUGUCUUCCGGCCGGAAUGCUCAGGCGGAAUCAAGUGCCUGCAACAUUCAAGGAGAAGACGAGACAGUGAGAAGGCAUCAGAAGAAAGGGAAACUCAUCUUCUGGUCCUGGUAACCAGGCAAGGUAUUCUGUGCCAGAGGUCAGUGUAACAGGUCUGUCAUGAAUUCCUGUUUGAAGUCAGGACACACAGCACACCAGGUGUUGAGAGGAGACAGUGAGUGUGAGGAGUCGGGCAGAAACAGCUGGAGAAAUGUCUCCAGUUCACUGUUACGGAGCUGCCCAGUUGAACCUAAGGUUGACCCAACAGUCUUGGAGAGGACUUGGAGAGAAUAAUGCCACUAUGUGAACUUCCCAGAGUAAGCAAUUUUAAGCAAGUAAGUGAACAGAGAAACAGUGCAAACCACAGGGCAGAAUGAAGCUGUGUGACAUCAGAGAGGAGCAAUUUAUGACGCCCAGUCAUUCUGAGGAAGGAGGAGGGAGCCUUAUUUGUUCCCCAGAAGAACAUCUCUUGAGAAAAAUCUGGGUUUGGUUUCGUGCGGUUAGGUUUGUCAUGUGUCGUCAACCGCAACAGAAAAGUGGGAGCAAACAGCCCUGGAGCAAGUGGUACGAUCACCAGACAGAGGAGGCCAAGCCCCUGAUUGUAGAAUCUCUAUUGAUCUGCCCAGUCACUGGUUCUUUCUUCUGCCAACUCAAAUCUAUUGUUAAAUCCAUCUAUCACACAGGUGCUGUGAGCCUAUGUGACUGACCCCUGAAUGAGAUCCCUGGAGGACAGGCCCAGGAGACCAUCUUGGUGGACACACUCUGCUGUGUUGGCACACAUCCUCACUGGAGAGACUGCAUCUGAUCUGCUCACCUGGGACAAAACUCUAUGUUUGAAUAAACU